UUUGGAUAACAUCUAUGAACUAGAAAGAACCAACUAGAAAAAUGGCAAACAGAUGGAAGAAAAUAUAAUUAGCAAAAUGUAUUAAAGCUAGGCGUUAUUUUAAAAUUCAGAAUGGUGUACAUAUCUUCAGAUGGAACUAUACGGAAGGAUCAGGGGUGGAGUUUGGUUUCGUGGUUCACGGGAAUCGUUAACUUUAUCAUUUUAUUUUUCAAGACACUGGUGAGCCCCGACUCUCACCCCAGGGGAAGUGGUUACACGACAGAUUAUCGCAGACCUGGUCAAGGGCCGCCGCGUCCUCCCCGCAGACGCUUCGGCGGCGUCAACAACCAGAUGGACUCGGCGCCUUCGUGCGCCUCUCCAGGGGGAUGAGGUUAGGGCGGGGUCCCGGAGCGCCCCUGCGGCGGCCCGGAGACCCUGAGCCACGGUUCCACCCGACUCGAGUCAGCCGCGGCCAGCCGGCCCCGCAGCUGUCGUAUGACGUUUCUCCUCGAAACUGGAGCACCCCCAGAGUGGAGAAACUGAAGAUGAGUUUCGUGGAACCUUGUACUACCCUACCCUAGUUUUGUAUGCAAACCGUCAAUAGUUGUAAUUUUGUAACUGCUGAACGUAAAAAAAUUAAGUACUAACCUCUGAAUAUUCAAUGUGAAAUACAUUUUUUUAAGUACAAUAAUUUAACUGUAAAUUUUAUAUAUAUAUUUAUGUUUAACAUAAAGGAAGGUUGAAGUUGGAAAUUUAUAUCAAUAGUUAUGGCAAAUAUAAACAUUACUAAUAUAAAAUACUGAGUAAAUUUUUAAAAUAAAUUGUACCUGCUUUGUUAUAUAUGUUUCAUUGUUUGGCAUACAUAUUUCGUCACCAAAGUGGGAGUAAUCAUGUGUUUUAACGAACAAGAGUUUAAUGGCCGAAGUAAAAAAAUAAUAAUAGGAAAGAGUACUCAGUAAUGUAACAAUUAGAUAGAGGUUAAUUGCUUUGAUGAUUCUGGGUUAGUAUGUCAUUUUUUUUAUCCCAAUCUUUAAUUGAUUAGUUACGUGGCAUGUUAAGUCCUAAUGCAUGAUUUUUAUAACCGACAUAAGAGAAAUAUCUUAAACAAAUUGCAGACAAUGUCCAAAGCUCGCACCGCUUAGCCAUAAUGUUAAUCUAUUCCUAGAAGUGGCUUUUUUUUUUUCAAGUGUCCAGAGCAGGGGUUUCCAAACUUUUUAGAUCCACUGCUCCCUUAAUCUACAGAUUAUUUCUGGUGGCGACCCCAACACGAACUAAUUUGAGGUUUGCAGCACAAAGCCACAAACUGUGAUGUAUCGCGGCUCCGCGCGUUCAUGUCACUCGCAGACGUGGGCCUUGCGUCCGGAUAACUGUACUGACGAGGCGGUGAAAGCUUACUCUCGCUUGUGUUGCUGGUUCAGUUACUCACACAGGUCAGUCAAUCAAGCAACGCUUGGUGGCCCCCCUGAGCGACACGGCGCACGAUUAGGGACUAGAGGGAUCGAAUUUUGGCUCUAGCCUGGCUUAUGAAAUAAUUUAUUUACAAAAUGAUCCCGAAGGUUCAUUUAUUUCAUAAGUUCUGGUUUAGUACAAUAUUGUAAUGGAUAGGUAAGGGGACAAGAUUAUAUGGUGGAUUGCAAUAAAAUACAAAUAAUGCAGAAAAGCACGUCACUACACCAUGUUACACCUAAAUCAAAGUUAUUACACAGUAAGCACCAAAACAAAUUAAAAUCAUAAUAUCAACCAACAACUAGACAAAACUUACCACUCAAAUGACAAAAAUGUAUUCUUUUACUAUAGUAAAUGCCAUAAAGGUAAUUCCAUAAAUGUAAUUUCUUGUACAAAAAAGAAUAUUAUUACUUUUGAUAUUGCAUCUCUUAUUAGCAACACUUUUUACAUUAACGGCGGCAAAUUUCUCGAACAUGCACAAAGUUAACAAUUUAUAUUCAUUUCUCCGAGUAGUUCUGUCCCAUACAAGUUUAUUUCAAAUUAUUUUAUUGUAAAAGUGCAUAAUGUAUCAGUCAAAAUGUGACUACAUAUUUUGUUGAAAUAUGUAUUGAGAAAUACACAUUUUAAUUUGUUGAAUAAAAUGCAAUCUUUUUGAAUAAAGACAAAGUAUUAAAAUAAAAAAAAUGACACAGAAAUCUUCUGUUUUGAAAACCCAAUGGACGUUAAGAAUAAAACCAUAAAAUCUUGUCCCUGAUGAUAGGAGAUGAUAAAGGAAUCGUGAUUGUAUUGGCACAAAAACAAAGCUUUUUGAAAGGAAAAAUUUUAUUUUCAUAAUUUUUAUCACACAGUACUUAUUCUCUAUCCUCUUUCUUGCCUUCUGUCAAGAUGCUGACCUGCACCUAAGGUAUCUCAUAUUGAAUCCACUUUACUACAGUUCUUUUAUACAUUAAGCUAAUGCCUUUCAUUAUAUUUUUCGAUCAAACACGCCAACUACAUUUCUUGAAAAUCUACCAAGGUCUGACUGAAAUUUGUACACUUAUAUUUUGAUUACAAUAAAUAAAAGCCAAACACAUGCCAGCUGCACUAACAUCGAUGCGGGUGACUUUGUACCACUUAAGGCAUGUUUACAUGUAUUUAUAGAACCUAAUUUAUUUAAAACUUAUUUAUUAAAUACAUGUAUGGAAGUAUUUUUAAUAGUGGUGCACCGAUGCGGAUAACGAUGAAUCGUAAUCGGCGAUUAUGGGUACUUACCGAUUAAUCGUAAUCGGCGAUUAUCUUAACAAUUACUUUGCCGAUUAUCUACGUCCCGGCGUAAUUAAGUAGGUUUUUACCGUGUAAUAUUUUGUUACACGUUUUAGGACGAAAUAUGGUAAUAUUUGUAUAUAUUACAAAAUUCAUCUAACUCCGUCAUAUCAAGAUUACAGAUAUUUCGUUAAGUUUAAUUAAUCUCAUUGCCUCUAACAAUAAAAAAUAUAUUUUUCCUAUACGUUUAUUUACGUUUCGUCUUUUGUUUAGUGGCCUUGUACAUUACCUAUAGAUAGCCAGAGACGUAAAAUAGAUGGCACACAAUCAAAAUACCACAAGCAGUUGCAGUGUAUUCUAUGAGAAUCGAUCUUUUCGAGUCGUAGUAGAGGUUCAAAAUCGUGGUCCCGAUUCCUUUCAGAGUUCAUCACUGCGUUUUACAAACUCGUUAUGGGCGUCUUUGGUAACAACAUCCGUUGUUGUGUUAUUUGUAUGUGACGUGAAAAGUGAAAAAGUAUUUAUAAGUUUAUAUAUUCAGUGAACAUAAAUAAAAUCACAUGUGCUAGAAUUGGUUUUUAGUCAUUUUUAUAUAAUUAUAGUAAGAUGGCGAGUGGUGAGAAAAAAAAGUGAAGUGUGGAAACAUUUUUCUAUAAACUCAAGUGAACAAAAUAAAGCAGCAUGUUUACAUUGUAAAACGGUAAUUUCUCGAUGCAACCUUAUGUGAUAUUCGAUAAUAAUGCUAGUUUUCCGCAACAAAAACUUACCCAUUGUAAAUUACAAUUAUUAGACUGUAGUUCAAGUUGUUUACAACAACAAAUAUAAAUAGAAGUUAAUUUAAUUUACUCUUUGCAAUGACUUAAUAGUGUAUUUUAUAUAUUUUUAUACUGUUAUUAUAACUGUAUUCUCAAUUUUACCUACUCUUGUAAUUAAAUUCACAUGGGAAUAAAACAUUUUGUGUGCAUUAUUACACUUAACAAAAAUAUUUCAUUAUAAUCGAUAACUGAAUCGGUAUCUGCCGAUUAUUGCUCUCAUAAUCGGUAAUCGGUAAUCGAAUCGGUAAAGCCAUAUCGGUGCACCACUAAUUUUUAAUGUGCUUUCUUUAGCAAUAUAGAACUUAAUUUUCUGUGUAGUUUUAGAAAAUUAAAAAAUACCGUAUAUACUCGUGUAUAGCGCGCCCUUUUUUCCCCUCAAGUAAAGGAAAAAAAUAAGGAUGCGCGCUAUACACGGGAAAAAAAAUUUUUGGGGGGGGGGGGGGGGAGGCGGGGAGGAGUGGAAGUCGUUAACUGCCGGGUGACGGGUGACGUUUCUGGCCAGCCCCCACACAUACGCACAAGCAACAAGGCCUCUGUUUCACACACACACACACACACACACACACACGCGCGCGCAAGCUCGCACAUCAUGGUCUCUUGUUUAUUUUUAGACCUCCCCCCUUUACAGAAAGCCAGCUCAGAAGCUAGUAAAAAGAGAGAGAGAGAGAAAGAGAGAAUGUUGUCACCAGUUCCCCCCCCCCCCCCCCCCCCCCCCCCCCCCGGCAACUUCUUCGCUUCCACCAUUCCUCACCGGUGAGUCAUCAAGUUCUCCGCGCCAGCUUAGCAACGUAGCGCGGCACGCCUCCCUCCCUUCCUUCCUUCCACGUACCAGUUGUGACGAUAUAGCGCUUCAUUAUCUUCCGUUUAGACAGCAGAGUUUAUGUAUUUUCCUGACGCAUCACCACACAUCAAUUUAAAUAAUCAGGUACCACAAAAUGUUAGUAAAAUUUAUUUAUGGGGGGAAAAAAUAUUUCAAUUUUUUUUUUCUUUGGAAUUAGUUGCAAAAAUCGUGGUGCGCGCUAUACACGAGGGCGCGCUAUACACGAGUAAAUACGGUAGUAAUGUUGUGGUACAAAGUCACCUACAUGUGUUGGGUGACUUUGUACCGUGUUGGUAAUUGUCGCAUAAAUAGUGUUGUAUUGAGAACAGUUGUACAGCAGGUGAAUUUGUUCCACUUUAAAUAUUAACUUCACACACAAUAUUAAUGUUUUGGUUUAAUUUGACUUCAAUUAUAUUAACAAAUUACAUACUAAAACAUUGAGAGCAAACUAAAAAUGUCUUGAAUAGGUGUUAAAACUUUUUUUUUUUAGUUUAACACUACACAGACCAAUGCUGGCUCAAAAUUAAGUUUUCGAUGGAAAAAAGGCCUCUUUUUGAUACUUGCCGCACACAAGACAUGUUCACACGAUCAAUCACUGCACUAAUGUCAUAAAAUAUUUCGUCUUUAUCUUCAGGCCAUUUCCAAUAUCCUUGCCCUGCCCUUUUCAUACAAGAGACUUUAAGUUCUUUCUUUUGCCUGUUUAUCUCAGUGAUCCUCCCUGGAUAAAAUGUCCCUUCAUAGUCUACAACAACAAAUUCAUUUACACUGUAGAGAUCACCCUUAGAUUGUGUUUUAUUUUUCAAAGUUUGGAUUGAACUGCUGGAACAUGGCUGUUCUGUGAAGCUGUCAAACUCUUCAGCAGAUUCAUCAGGUGUAUCAUCAAAUAUGAGUUCACAGUUACCUGCUUCAGAGUCUGAACUAGAACUGUCCUGAGUAUGACUUGCCUUUCUUGGUGCAAAUUUCAUUCUUAAACACUUUCCUUUCACACUUUUGGAGGACUUCUUCUUCAGUGCAGAUUCUUCCAGAUAUUGUGCCACCUCCUCACUGCUAAUACUUUUCCCAGGUUCUACUGGAAGUCGUUUCCGUGAAGUAGACUUCGGCGAUGUGAAAUUCUCAGUGAUGUGUUUAAUGUAUUCUUGAAAAGCUUGUCCAACACCAUCAGAAAUAUUCAGGUCAUUUAGUCCAAACUCCGGUAGGCUACCAAUGGGCUGCCGACGAUCCGUGGGGUAAAUUCCAGUUUUCCUGAAACCAGCACGAACAUUAUCUGAUGCUUUUGGAGCAUUUGCUUUAAGCAACUCAUGCAACAACUCAGGAAAUGCUUGCUUUGUUACAGUAGUGUACUUCUUUCCUUCCUUGGUUUGUUUCCAUGAGUGAAGAAGCUUUCUCCAAUGGCUUUUUAAUGGACUGAAAAAGGAAACAUCAAAAGGUUGUAGUAUAUGUGUGCUAUUGGGAGGUAGGCAGAUAAAUUUUGUUUUGACUUUGUCACAUUGCCGCAAAACAUACAAACUGAUGUGUGAUGUAAGGUUAUCACAUAUUAUAACUUUCUGUCCAUCUUUCUUUUUUUAACUCUGGGUAGAGAACAGUGUCAAACCAAUUUUCAAAGGUGGCUUGUUCAAACCAACCACUCUUUGAAGCAGCAUAUCUGGUUCCGGGUGGGCCACCUUGAGUCCAUGUUACCAAAGGUUGAGUUCCUUUAUACACUACAUAUGGUGGUAGCACUUCUCCAUUAGCAGUACCACAAAACAUUACUGAAUAUUUAACUUUACUGCUGUUCACAACCAACUGUGGAUGUUUACUUUUUCUUGAAAAGAUAACCUUCUUUUUUCUUGGAUCAUCAUUGAUGCCAGUCUCAUCAAAGUUGAAAAUAUUUUCAGGUGGUACUCCAUCCAGUUCCUGUUCCAAAUGAUCAAAAAAGUCUAUUACAAUUUUCUCUGUUACAUUAGCACGUUUCUUGCUGAUGUUGUGUGCAAAACGUUCACGCAAUUCCUUGUCAUGUCGUUUUAAAAACAGGUUACACCACUCACGGCCGGGAUAGUUGUUUUUAAAGCACUUGAUAUUCUUCUUUUUCUUAUCCAAGUAACUCUUGACAAUGAAACGAAAAUCAGUCUUAGUUAUUGGAAAGCCCAAAUUUGCUACACACGAAAUAUGUUGGACAAACUCUUUUUCUUCAUCAUCAGAAAAAACCUUCUGACCGCCAAUUUUGCCACUGUGUAAACCUUUGGUCUUGUUUCGUAUAGUCUGCCUAGGUAUGUUGUAAUGUGCAGAAGCUUUCCUUUCUGACAUCUUUCCUGUUGCAAUGUCUGUAAGGCAUGCUUCCAACUUUUCAUCUGAAUAUCUUCUGUAAGCCCUUGAGUCAGGGUGUGGCACAUAUUUAUUGGGCAUUUUGUGGAUUUAUAUAUCUGAAAACAGAUUAAAUCUGCUGUACUUAAAUGUAAUAACCUACUUGUUAUUUAACCUACAUACACAAAAAGAAUAUUAAACCAAAAUAUUAAUGCCAGGGUGGAUUUGUACCUGUGUGGAUGACUUUGUACCACGUGGUACAAAGCCACCCUUGCUGAAACAUAACCUUAAAAUAAAAUAUUAUGAAGAAACAGUUCGAUAAAACAUUCUGGAAGUGGCUAAAUACAUACCUGGUGGUAGAAUAUCAAAGGAGCCAGUUUUAAAAUCGUAAGUCUUUUUUAUGUUUUUGUACAACACUUCACAACACUAACAAAAACAAUGAAAAUAUUGACCAUCAUGCAUAGCAGCCAUUUUGAAAACACAUGUAUGAUGCAGAGUAGUAUGCAAUGUUGUCAUAUUGCAGCACCAACUGUGCAAAUUUUAACUAUCGUGAAGAAGGACAAUUUUUUUUUUGUUUAAUGGUUAUUAAAUAUUAUUUGAUAAAAUGCUCAAUGGCACAAAGUCAUCCUCACAGGACAAAGUCACCCGCAUCGACUGUAUUACGGACAAACAAUACGCUCUCUUGCUGGAAGACAGCAUUCUUCUCUUCAUGCUACAUGCCUUUCAAUCACGACUUUACAAGCACAUCCUCUAGUUUUUGAUGUAAAUAAGAUGCUUGUCACACAUCUUAUCUUGAUUCAGUUUUCAGUUGAAUGGGUAGCACCACAACUGGUUCACUUGUCUUGGGAUUGCCUGUGUAGAUGCUCCACGUUCUUGCAACACAGUCAAAGAUUCCUGCGGAAAAGGAAACAUUGAUUGCUAAUGAACAAUAUAUGUACAAGUUUAAUGUAUCUUGUGACUGUUUGAAUUAGUGUGUGGAACUUUAUUAGCCACAAGGAUUAGGCAAAACUGUUUUGUAAAAGGAAAACUUUUUGAGCAAAUUACAUACAUAUUAAAAUUUA